rnacentral:rRNA from 1 species
UACGGAGGUUGCAAGCGUUGUUCGGAAUAACUGGGCGUAAAGGGAGCGCAGGCGGUUGGGUUAGUCUAAAGUGAAAGCCCGGAGCUUAACUCCGGAAGUGCUUUGGAUACUGCCUAACUUGAGUUCGUGAGAGGAAAGCGGAAUUCCAGGUGUAGCGGUGAAAUGCGUAGAUAUCUGGAGGAACACCGGUGGCGAAGGCGGCUUUCUGGCGCGAUACUGACGCUGAGGCUCGAAAGCGUGGGGAG